rnacentral:tRNA from 1 species
UUCAUCAGCUUGCCAUUUUAUUUUUAAUGGGUUAAUUGAUAUAAAUGUAGAUACUUUAACAUCUUCGAAUACUCGAAA